AACGAACGCUGGCGGCAUGCCUAACACAUGCAAGUCGAACGAAGGCUUCGGCCUUAGUGGCGCACGGGUGCGUAACGCGUGGGAAUCUGCCCUUGGGUUCGGAAUAACGGCUGGAAACGGCUGCCAAUACCGGAUGAUGACGCUAAGUCCAAAGAUUUAUCGCCCAGGGAUGAGCCCGCGUAGGAUUAGCUUGUUGGUGGGGUAAAGGCCUACCAAGGCGACGAUCCUUAGCUGGUCUGAGAGGAUGAUCAGCCACACUGGGACUGAGACACGGCCCAGACUCCUACGGGAGGCAGCAGUGGGGAAUAUUGGACAAUGGGCGAAAGCCUGAUCCAGCAAUGCCGCGUGAGUGAUGAGGGCCUUAGGGUUGUAAAGCUCUUUUACCCGGGAAGAUAAUGACUGUACCGGGAGAAUAAGCCCCGGCUAACUCCGUGCCAGCCGCCGCAGUAA
rnacentral:rRNA from 1 species